UUGGGUUUCAGGUCACGUGACGGCUGUUUUGUAGCUCCGGAAGAGAGCCGUGAAGUUUAGGUUGCCUGGAAGGAGCAAUGAUCGGGCCUACUUUUGUUGUUGUUGUUGUUGCUGCUGCUGCUGCUGGGGGCGGAGGGCGAGGAAGUUGUGGCCAAAGGAGCCAGAAGACAAAAGGACCAUUGCAAGGGGGAAAAAAACACCAAGAUUUGGGGGAAUGACCCACAGAGACGGAAGGUGUGUUAACUUGGGCGCUUCUUGGAUUCUACCCUGAGGAGGAGGCGCAUGGUGAGAGG